rnacentral:rRNA from 1 species
UCAACAAAAUACCACUAAACACCCAAAACCCUUUACCCCCAUUAAGUUUCUCUAUAAACUAUAGAGAUAAUUAUGUUAAAACUAGUAAUAAGAAGAAGACCUUCUCUUAAAUGCAACUGUAGGUCAGAAAGGACAAACCACUGACAAUUACAACGUAUGUGAAACUAAAGUAGCAACUCUUCAAGAAAACCCUAUUUUACUUAACGUUAACCUAACACCAGAGCAUUCCAAGAAAGAUUAAAAGAAAAAGAAGGAACUCGGCAAACACACUAACCUCGCCUGUUUACCAAAAACAUCGCCUCUUGGCCCCCAUAAGAGGUCCAGCCUGCCCAGUGACUUAGUUCAACGGCCGCGGUAUCCUAACCGUGCGAAGGUAGCGUAAUCACUUGUUCUUUAAAUGAGGACUAGUAUGAAUGGCACCACGAAGGUUAAGCUGUCUCCUCUUUCUAAUCAAUGAAACUAAUCCCCCCGUGAAGAAGCGGGGAUAAAUAUAUAAGACGAGAAGACCCUAUGGAGCUUUAAACUAUAUAGCACUAGCCCUACACUUUCAAGCUCCAGAGAAAUAAAAAUUACCCCGGCUACCAUGACUAUCAGUUUUAGGUUGGGGUGACCGCGGAGUAAAAACCAACCUCCACAUUGAAUGACAAUUACCCUGAGCAAAAAACCACAGCUUUAAGCACCAAUAAAUUGACAUUAAUUGACCCAAUAUUUUGAUCAACGAACCAAGUUACCCUAGGGAUAACAGCGCAAUCCAUUUCAAGAGCUCCUAUCGACAAGUGGGUUUACGACCUCGAUGUUGGAUCAGGGUAUCCCAGUGGUGCAGCCGCUACUAAAGGUUCGUUUGUUCAACGAUUAAAACCCUACGUGAUCU